rnacentral:rRNA from 1 species
UGGGGAAUUUUGGACAAUGGGCGCAAGCCUGAUCCAGCAAUGCCGCGUGAGUGAAGAAGGCCUUCGGGUUGUAAAGCUCUUUUGUCAGGGAAGAAACGGUGAGGGCUAAUAUCCUUUGCUAAUGACGGUACCUGAAGAAUAAGCACCGGCUAACUACGUGCCAGCAGCCGCGGUAAUACGUAGGGUGCAAGCGUUAAUCGGAAUUACUGGGCGUAAAGCGUGCGCAGGCGGUUUUGUAAGUCUGUCGUGAAAUCCCCGGGCUCAACCUGGGAAUUGCGAUGGAGACUGCAAGGCUAGAAUCUGGCAGAGGGGGGUAGAAUUCCACGUGUAGCAGUGAAAUGCGUAGAGAUGUGGAGGAACACCGAUGGCGAAGGCAGCCCCCUGGGUCAAGAUUGACGCUCAUGCACGAAAGCGUGGGGAGCAAACA